rnacentral:rRNA from 1 species
AUUGAACGCUGGCGGCAGGCCUAACACAUGCAAGUCGAGCGAGCGGCGGACGGGUGAGUAAUGUCUGGGAAACUGCCUGAUGGAGGGGGAUAACUACUGGAAACGGUAGCUAAUACCGCAUACCCUCAGAUGUGCCCAGAUGGGAUUAGGUAGUAGGUGGGGUAACGGCUCACCUAGGCGACGAUCCCUAGCUGGUCUGAGAGGAUGACCAGCAAAACGGGAAGUGAGAAACGGUCCAGACGCCUACGGGAGGCAGCAGUGGGGAAGAUGGCACAAGGGGAGAAAGCCUGAUGCAGCCAUGCCGCGUGUGUGAAGAAGGCCUUAGGGUUGUAAAGCACUUGCAGCGGGGAGGCGUUACCCGCAGAAGAAGCACCGGCUAACUCCGUGCCAGCAGCCGCGGUAAUAC